rnacentral:rRNA from 1 species
UACAGAGGUCUCAAGCGUUGUUCGGAUUCAUUGGGCGUAAAGGGUGCGUAGGUGGCAUGGUAAGUCGGAUGUGAAAUCCCGGGGCUCAACCCCGGAACUGCAUUCGAUACUGCUGCGCUAGAGUACUGGAGAGGAGAUUGGAAUUUACGGUGUAGCAGUGAAAUGCGUAGAUAUCGUAAGGAAGACCAGUGGCGAAGGCGGAUCUCUGGACAGUUACUGACACUGAGGCACGAAGGCCAGGGGAGCAACGGGAUU